GGCAGCAGUGGGGAAUCUUCGGCAAUGGGCGAAAGCCUGACCGAGCAAUGCCGCGUGAAUGAUGAAGGCCCUCGGGUUGUAAAAUUCUGUUAUAAGGGAAGAACGACUUUAGUAGGAAAUGGCUAGAGUGUGACGGUACCUUAUGAGAAAGCCACGGCUAACUACGUGCCAGCAGCCGCGGUAAUACGUAGGUGGCGAGCGUUAUCCGGAAUUAUUGGGCGUAAAGAGCGCGCAGGUGGUUGAUUAAGUCUGAUGUGAAAGCCCACGGCUUAACCGUGGAGGGUCAUUGGAAACUGGUCGACUUGAGUGCAGAAGAGGGAAGUGGAAUUCCAUGUGUAGCGGUGAAAUGCGUAGAGAUAUGGAGGAACACCAGUGGCGAAGGCGGCUUCCUGGUCUGUAACUGACACUGAGGCGCGAAAGCGUGGGGAGCAAACAGGAUUAGAUACCCUGGUAGUCC
rnacentral:rRNA from 1 species